ACUGAAUGUCAAGCAUACUCUCA
rnacentral:miRNA from 1 species